GCAGUGGAGGGCUGGGGCAUGCCUGUGAGCACGUCCAGCACAGAUAGCUUGGCUAAAGUACAAGGACAACCUCACAGAUAUCUUGGUUAGAGUACAAGGACAUAGAAUGUACUACAUGCCUGUAAGCAUGGCAUGUCUCACAGCUACAGAGGAUAGGGCUUAACAAAGAACUAUUAGCAAAAAAGCAAGAAGUCUUUGAAGAAAGUAUUUAAAACACACUAUUAUUUGUGACACUUAUGAUUAUUCUUUAACA